CGUCCGGUAUGAGCGCCAAACCAUAGACCUCAUUACCCCGUCCGGUAUGAGGGUGAAACGGGCCGUCCCCAUACCCCGUCCGGUAUGGGCGCCAAAACAUAGACCUCAUUACCCUAUGGAUCCCCAUGGAUACUAGUGGGCUGGUGAAUCAAGAAAAUAUGUUGUGUAACGAUUGAAUUACGAAAAGUUUGAUAGGUAUUAUGUUAUACAGUUCAUAUGUAUGUUUUCAUGAUGAUGAUG
rnacentral:lncRNA from 1 species